rnacentral:rRNA from 1 species
UCGCCUCUUUGAAGUCGGAAUCGCUAGUAAUCGCAGAUCAGCAUACUGCCGUGAAUACGUUCCCGGGCCUUGUACACACCGCCCGUCACACCAUGAGAGUUGGGGAUACCCGAAGCCUGUGAGCUAACUUAUAGAGGCAGCAGUCGAAGGUAGAAUCAAUGAUUGGGGUGAAGUCGUAACAAGGUAUC